UACGUAGGCAGCAAGCGUUGUUCGGAGUUACUGGGCGUAAAGGGUGUGUAGGCGGUUAUUUAAGUUUGGUGUGAAAUCUCCCGGCUCAACCGGGAGGGUGCGCCGAAUACUGAAUGACUUGGAGUGCGGGAGAGGAAAGUGGAAUUCCCAGUGUAGCGGUGAAAUGCGUAGAUAUUGGGAGGAACACCAGUGGCGAAGGCGGCUCACUGGACCGGUACUGACGCUGAGGUGCGAAAGCGUGGGGAGCAAACAGG
rnacentral:rRNA from 1 species